UAUAAGAAAAGAUUUAUUUAUUUCUCCCCCCAUGGUUUUUGUAAAAUACAUAGACCAAGAAUUUCCACUUAAAGGGGAAAAAAAUCAAGAUGGUAAGUUCUAGUGAGUUCCCUGGUCAGUUAGCGCAUGGUGGCAGGUGGGGACAUAUUGUUCAGGCCUGUGGAGGCCAGACCCUCACCCUGGACUGCACCCUACAUUGGCCCCUCUGGGUGACCUCCACCAUAGGGUAGACCACCUCAGUAUUUCUUUGCUCCCAUCACUACAGAGAGACCCCCCAAGAAGCUCACUGGGUCACUCAGUUGCAUGGGCCCCUCAGGACAAAAUGAACCAAGAGCCCCUUCAAUGAAGGCCCCUGGACAUUUCAGUAAAAAGCAGAUGCCUGAGAACUCUGACUAGACCUCCUUCUACCCUGCCUACACUGGUAGACAGGAGAAGGGGACCUGGGCCUCCUCUCGGUUUGUCUUAGAGAAUUAGCCCUCAUUCCUUCUCCCACCUUUCAAGGGCAGUGAGCAAGCUGGGGGUUUCAGGUAUCUCCUAGGACUGCUUAGUCUUUUCAUGGACCCAAAGUUUCUGUUCUUAUGCAAACGUAAUGUACAUCUGUUCCCCAAAAUGCACUGUUUUCCUUGGGGGCCUUAUCUAGUGCUUUACGAAAAAAAUUCUAAUAUAUUAGACUUAGCAGCCUGAUCUCGAGUGUAUUCAGAUGUGUAUGUGUGUGUGUGUGUCUGUGCGUGUGUGUGCACGUGCAUAUGUAUAUAUGUGUCUACAUGGAUCUGUAUUGUGUGUAUGUGUGUGUGUGUGUGUGUGUUUUCUUGCUGGCCUUACUCAAGUGUCUCCCAAACGUCACAUGCAGCCACACCAGUUGUACUGAGCUGUGUUCAGAGUCCCUGUUUUUUUUUAAUAUGUCUCUAAAAGACCUGACAAUUUCAAAACCAAUCACAUUGGGUGGAAACUCAAGGGGUACGUUUUGGAAAAAAAGAAAAAAGAGAGAAGAAUCUUCACUAUCAAUUGCCCAUCUAUUUUAGGUAAACAACCAGAUACUGCCAGGCCACCAUGAACCUCUUUACCUCUUUACGUUUGUCUCUAUGAGAUGCUCUCUACCUUAAGAUGGUUUAUUUUUCUUUCAGAGUCUUUUUGGAAGGGCCUUACCAGGAGCUCUCUGAAAAGUGGAGUAAAUUAUGUCAACCGGAUCAACAUUGUUUUCAGUUUUAUCGACCUAGAAAUGAUAACUGUAAUAUUUCCUGCAAAUGUCUUGAUUCGGCAGAAGUUGCACUUGUGAUAGUUAAUGCACAAUUUGAAGAAUUCAUUCCCAGGUACAGAAACACAUUGGAGGAACACAGCAGCCAUAGGAGACAAAUGAGCCCAAUGAGAAAUUCUGCUACCCUGCUCCUGCCGGGAUUUACCUUGCUCUCCACUUUUUCUGCCUGGUUUUCUUUUUAACCUCAGAGGUAACGAUGGGUCCAUUGGAUAAAAAAAUGGGAAGGAAACUGGUUAAUUCGGGAGGUUUCUGAGUGUUCUUUUGACCACAUAGUGUUGGCUGUGUCCAGAGUGAGUAUGAUGAAACCAUAAAGUGUCAGCCCUGAGAGACCACAAGGUUGAAGGCCAGACCAUCCUGGAGAAAGUGGAUACCUCUCUAGGAAGCUUCUAGAACAGUCUCCAAGGAGGGCCAGCUCUGACCUGCAGGGGGGUGAAUCAAUGUACUCUGGCAGGUAGGUCGCUGGGGCACAGUGUCAGGGAGGCAGAGGGGGUGGCCGUCAGCACUCAGAAGCCUGGCCAAGGGAGCAGGAACUCAACAGCGGAGACCUAAGACUGAGACAGGAAGAAGCAAAGGGGUGCUGGGCCAAGGGCUUCCUCCCCUUCCAAGGCAGCUGUAAGGACUCAGAAUGUUCCUCCAGGUCUAUGUUUCUCAGCCUUCCAAAUCCUCAUGCCAGUUAGAUCCAAACCUAGCCGAGAAGGAGGUCCCUGCAUUUGUUCUCUUGCCUUUAGCCUGCCUUCGGGGGAAUGAUGGUCCCAGUCGCCUGCACCUCCAGCCAGCCUGGCACAGUCUGAAGAACGUGGACUUGAGGCCGGAUGAGGUCAGAUUUCAUCUGGACUAAGAGCCCAAGCAAACACCUCCAAUUCCUAGCGGCUUGGGUUGGAGGUCACGUGAGAGAUGGUGGUAUCUUCCAAAGUUCAGUCCUGACCAAACACCCCGUGUUUUUUAUUCACUCCAUUUUACUUAGCUUUUUUUCCCAUCACCUUGUCCAUCAGUGGCACACGGAUCACCCCGUGGGAAAUGGUGAGACUGCGUCACUGCACCACCUGUCUCAGAGACGGACUUACGGUUGUGUCUACCCCUCUGCUUCAUGGCCUUGAGUGCUCUGCCUCACCCCUCCCCACCUCACCCCGCCCCACCUCACCCCUCCUUGAACCUGAGUGAAGCCCCUGCUGAUCUCUGUCCCACACCUGCUGGAGAGACCUGUUCCAACUGAGACGGCUUCUCUGGAACGCCACGGUCUCACACUUGACUGCAGGCAUGGCCUUCACCUGUGGGUCCAGAUGCCUCACCUGGGUCACCCAGUCAGGCCCCCUGAUGUGGGUGCGGCGCAUAUUAGUCCUCAGAGCAUCAGGAACUUUGAACUCUGUUGCCCACCCUCCUGCAGGAUCAGCCCUACAAACCUGCAUUGCACUCUGGAGCCCCUGCCCGAGAGGCUUUCUGUCCCAGCUCAUCACUAAAACUCCAGCCCACCUGUAUCCAAAAGAGCCCUGGGCAGCGGGGAGGACCAACACCAGCACAGAAGUAAGACCAGGCAUUGCAUUUGGGAGCUGGAGGGACCUCACUCUAGAGCACGUCUGUCACCGUCACUCAGACCAAGAUGUCUGUUAUCACCUCCCAGGUAUCUCUCCUAUUCUCUCUGAUUCGGUAUCACCCAACGGCAAAACUCCUGAGAAAUUCUGACUUUUCUUUUUAGAACUGAAUUUGUCUAUUUUGUAUGUUGCUGAAAAAAGAGAAGAAAAGGAAUCCAGCAACAGAGGGUGAUCCCAGGCCACUCAGGAUCAGAAUGAAAACCCACAUCUGGAUUGUACUAAGCCUUUAUUCCUAGAGAAGCCACUAGUUACCUCUUCACCCAGAACUGGGGGACCUGAGGCCUCUGUUGCCCAAACCUAGCAGGUGCUUACAAAUUAUUCAUUUUGGUAGAGGCACAUGUGGGAGAGAGGGAAAAGGAGCUUCCUUUUGCUCACCUGGUUUUAUCUUCCAACCUAGAACAGGGAGGAGAGGGGAGGGAGGAGUUUAGGGACAGGAGCCACCUUUCAGCCUGCCAACCCAUCCCUGGAGCAUUAUCUGUCAGCCCUCAAACCUCUGCAUGCUGAGCAAUGUACACUCCUCAGAAAAGCACAGGACAGCCCCAGAGCCAGGCAUCCACGCAAUGAUUAGGCUGCCUCUUGGUCUCAAGCAAAGGAAUCAUUGGUACUGGAAAGGAAUGAAGAAUUUGGGGGGGAAAAUCAGUCUUUUCGUCUGCACAGUGUUGAAACAUUUGGAUCAAACAUGAGACAUCACUUCAAGCCAGAUGUUUUCUAGGCAUUUCCACCAAGUUUCGAUAUUUGGAAACACUAAAUAUGUACUGACAUUUCAGUAUCUUUUCAAAGACCAAAACAUAGAAGCCAAUAAACGCUUCCUUUCUGAGACCUUAUAAAGAUAGACGAAGAGAUAGACUUGGCGAGGUUUAAAACCACAACUUAUGUGGCUACUUGAAAUAGCUGAGAAAAAAAAAUAUGUUUUCCUAAGUGUUAUGGACUGAAUGUCCAUGUCCUCCCCAAAAUACAUAUGUUGAAAUCUCAUCCCCACCAGUGGUGGUUUUUAGAGGUUGAGACAUUUGGAGAUGAUGAAUGUCAAGGUGGAGCCUUCAUGAAAGGGGUUAGGGUCCUCAAAGAAGAGACCAGAGAACUAGCUCCAACCAUUCCACCAUGUGAAGACACAAGGAGAAAUCGGCAGACUGCAACUCAGAGGGCCCUUACCAGAACCCAGCCAUGCUGCAUCCUGAUCUUGGAAUUGCAAUCUCUGGAACUGUGAGAGGUAAAUACCCGUUGUAUAUAAGCCACCUAAUCCAUGGUACUUUGUUAUAACAAGUGGACCAAGACACCAAGUGAAGAGAUUUCCCCCCCUUACAAUCACUCAUAUGAUUAUAAGAGAAAAUAAAUUUUCAAACCAGUGACCAAUUAGGUCAUCAAUUUUAGGAGCAAUUAUUAAGUAAGAUUUCAAUAAAUAAUAGAAUUUCUGGA
rnacentral:lncRNA from 1 species